GCGGGGGUGCCCGAGCUAGGUCAAAGGGGGCGGACCGGGCCGGAACAACCCGGAGCCCAAACUUAGGAUCGGCCAAAGCCGGUAAGAACUCCGCUGGCGUAGGCCUGCCCGGGUUCGAAUCCCGGCCCCCGCACCA
rnacentral:tRNA from 1 species